rnacentral:rRNA from 1 species
CCUACGGGGGGCAGCAGUGAGGAAUAUUGGUCAAUGGGCGCGAGCCUGAACCAGCCAAGUAGCGUGAAGGAUGACUGCCCUACGGGUUGUACACUUCUUUUAUAAAGGAAUAAAGUGAGGCACGUGUGCCUUUUUGUAUGUACUUCAUGAAUAAGGAUCGGCUAACUCCGUGCCAGCAGCCGCGGUAAUACGGAGGAUCCGAGCGUUAUCCGGAUUUAUUGGGUUUAAAGGGAGCGUAGAUGGGUUGUUAAGUCAGUCGUGAAAGUUUGAGGCUCAACCGUAAAAUUGCAAUUGAUACUGGCAGUCUUGAGUACAGUUGAGGUAGGCGGAAUUCGUGGUGUAGCGGUGAAAUGCGUAGAUAUCACGAGGAACUCCGAUUGCGAAGGCAGCUUACUAAACUGCCACUGACAUUGAUGCUCGAAAGUGUGGGUAUCAAACAGGAUUAGAUACCCGGGUAGUC